rnacentral:rRNA from 1 species
GAUGAACGCUGACAGAAUGCUUAACACAUGCAAGUCGAUGGGGAAGUGGUGCUUGCACCAUGGUAACCAUGGCGGACGGGUGAGUAACGCGUAAGGAACUUGCCUGCGGGACUGGGAUAACAGCAGGAAACUGCUGAUAAUACCGGAUAAGGUCAUUAAGCUGCAUAGCUUAGUGAUGAAAGGAGACGCCUGCGGAGAGCCUUGCGUCCUAUUAGCUAGUUGGAGGGGUAACGGCCCACAAAGGCGAAGAUAGGUAGCCGGCCUGAGAGGGUGGACGGCCACAAGGGGACUGAGAUACGGCACAUACUCCUACGGGGGGGAGCAGUGGGGAAUAGUGGACAAGGGGGGCAACCCUGAUCGAGCAAUUGUGUGUGCACGAAGACGGUUUUCGGAUUGAAAAGUGCUUUCAGCAGGGAAGAAGGAAGUGACGGUACCUGCAGAAGAAGCGACGGCUAAAUACGUG